rnacentral:tmRNA from 1 species
GGGGGCGAUUUGGAUUCGACGCCGGUUACGAAACCCUGGGUGCAUGCCGAGAUGGCGACCAAUCUCGUAAAUCCAAAGUCGCAAAUUAUAGUUGCCAACGACGACAACUACGCACUCGCCGCCUAAGAAACGGUAGAAUGCCAUCUGACUGGAGCCGUGCUUGUGCGUCCAGCGCUUCAACUACCCUCGGGUAGCGGCGAAGCACUCAGGUGUCAUACUCACAAGAUCGCGAUGAAGCUCGUCCGGGGUGGAUUCGCUAAACACUUACCGGAAUCGCAGUUUACGUGCCCUGUCAGUCGGGUUGUAACCUGUUAAAUUUAAUAGACUGAACUAAGCAUGUAGAUCCCUCGGCAGAGGACUGACGGACGCGGGUUCAAUUCCCGCCGCCUCCACCA